rnacentral:misc_RNA from 1 species
AAGUGCGAUAAGCAAUGCGAAUUGCAGAAUUCCGCGAAUCAUCAGAUCUUUGAACGCAAAUGGCGCCAGAGGGAUAUCCUUCUGGCAUGUCUGUUUCAGUGUCUGAGAGGUUUCACACUAAUCUUAAUGUGAUUGAAUUCGAGUUAGUUAGUUUAAUUACUAGCUCUCUCUCUUUUCUCUCAUGAAAGAUGCGCGAGGGGAUCUUUCGGUCCAAUGAAGUGGUCACAUCACUCGAAUGUGAUUUCAUUGGAAGCACCGAAUUAUCAUUUAACAACUCGCGGUAUCAUUAAACUAAUAAAAAGUGAUACUUUUUGGUAUCAUUUUUUUCUCUCUACACCCUGCAUCUGAGAUAGGCAAGAUCACCCGCUGAACUUAAGC